GCGAUGACGUCGCUGGCGCAGGCGCACUCUGUCGGCGACGCCGCGGCGCUGCUUGGUCUGUGAGCUGAAGGUACGGGCAGUCUCUUCUCCCAGCGAGAGGAGAAAGUGGGCAUUUUUAAGGUCAUCUGCAUCUUUCGUCAGAGGAAAAGAUGGUCAACGUUUUGAAAGGAGUGCUUAUAGAAUGGAACCCCGUUCUGAAUCUCACACCAUCAGACUAAACCACGUGCUUUGCAGUAAUCCACAAACACCCAAAUCUUUCCUUGGUUUUUCCCUGAAGACUACCUGUCACUCUUCAGUAGCUCUCCUCUCAGAUUCUUGCUCUCAGGGACUGGAGGAAAACGCACAGCAUACUGUGCAGUCUCACUUCAGAUUCGUGACCGCUCAACUCAGGCGGACCCUGAAUGCUAGCCAGCGAGCUCGUGACGUUUCCUAGUUCACUUACUCUCCACUUUCCUGGUAAAGCUGUUACAUCAAAUCUAAGAUUUCAUUAAUUUUACAAACUUAGUGAUUAUUUUAUGUACCUUUAAGAAAAAUCACUGCCAGUUAUACUCUAAUAUCUCCUCGAUUGUUAAGACUCAUCUCAGUUUCAGAGUUGUUAAAGUGUGUGUUGGGGCGGGGUGGGGAUGUGCUUCUUAAAAUGGAUGAAAUCUAGUAUUUCAUACCUUCAAUUUCUCUUACCUCGAACAACUUCCAUGUCUUCACUUGUAGCUGAUUCCUUGCUUCCUAUUUCACUGGGAAAAUAAAAGCAAUCAGAGGAGAACGUCCAUGACUCUUUCUCACAUGGCUCUGUGUCCAUAUACCACCCCCUCCCCACCCAGUUACUAUGAAGGAACUGCCCAUUCUCCUGUCUAAAGCCAGCUUUCCUGCUUGGGAACCGGAUCUCAUCCCCUCCUGCCUAUUUAAGAACACUUCUUCAGUGGUUUUCCUCUUUUCUCCUGCUUUAUCAUCAGUUUUUUUCCUCUGCUAGAUCAUUCCCUGUGUAUCACAAACAUACUGUAAUUUGUCCCCACCCCUCCCAGGCAAAAACUGAGUCCCACAUCCCUUUCCAGCUCCCACUCUGUUUUCAUGCUCAUUGUAGCAGAAUUUCUCAGACCUGUCUCUGUUCACUUUAAUUUCUCUCCUCCUUCUGAAACCCACUCGUCAGCCUUCUCCCUACAACUCUACCAAAACUGCUUGCACCAAGGUCCAGCAGCUUUCUGAAUCCAGUGGUUGGUCCUCAGUCCUUACCUUACUAUGCCUGUGAACCACAUUUGACGCAGUUGAUCAUUCUCCUUUCUGAAUAUCCUUUGUUCACUUAGCUUCCAGAACUCUUCGUGCAUUCUUCCUACCUCAGUGGUCACUGAUUUGUUUUUACCUUUUGUUGUCGGGGUGUCCAAGGCUUGGUCCUUGGACCCUUUGUAGCUUCCCCUGUCGUACAUUGAUGACUGACUCUUACUCUUUGGUCUGGACUUCGCUGUGUGAAAUCCACAAUGGUAUAUCCAGCUUCUUACUCUGCUGCUUCACGUCGGUGCCUGUAGGCUUCUCAAAUGUAACAUGCCUAAAACCAACGCGAUCUUACCGGCAAACCUGUUCUUCCCACACUCAUCCUCAGUGAAACAACUCCAUCCUUUCAUUUCCUCCAACUAAGAAUUUUAGAGCCUCCUUAAAUCCUCUCUUUCAAAGCUCAAGUGUAGUCUUAGGAAAUCUUGUUGCCUUUAUUUUUAACAUAUGUCUAAAAUUCAGCCACGUCUGAUUACCUGUUACCACCUAGGUCCAAAUCAUCAUCAUCGUCUCUUGCCUGGAUACAGCAGUCACCUCACUGGUCUCCCUGUGCCACCCUUGCUGCUGCCACCACCCUUGCUGCUGCCGCCACCCUUCACUCACCUCCAGAUUUCUCAACCCAGCAGGCAGUAUGACUCGUACAUCUAAAAUGUAACUCAAUUUGUAAAUUGACAUGGCACUUAGUAAAAGUCAAAGUCCUUAAAAUCAUCUUUAAGGUCCUACAUCAUCUGAACCAGUUUUAACUUUCCGAGCUCUCUCCCACUAUCUCCCAUCAGGCGCCUGUCUCUAGCCACCUGUAGGCUCUUCACUCUGCCUAGGAUGCUUCUCCCCCACACCGCCUUCUGCGGUUCACUCGGAUGUCACCUGCUCAGUAAGGCCUGCCUUUACUCCCUUACUUAAACUUGCAAGAGCCUAUCAGUUUCACCACUGCCAUUUCUCAUCCUACUUUUCUGGUUUUGUGUUUGUUUAUCAUAGUUCUACUGCUAGAAUAUAAGCUCUGUGACAUGGAAGGUUCUUAAUUGUUUUGUUCAUUGCUAAAUCCCCAGGACUGGAAUAGGGCCUGGCACAUGAUAGGUAUUCAUUAAGUAUUUAUUAAGUGAGUGAGUACAAAAAAUAGCAGAUUUUGUCGAAUCUAAGUGAGUAAGUGUAGCCUUUAGGUGUUCUGAACCUAAGUGUAAGAUAAACAUACUAGAAACUAAAUUUAAAAUCUGUCAAUUCUGAUGUGGGUAGAUCUAUUCACAUAAUUUUACAGCAUAGUAAAUUAUUAAUACAAUCAUUUUAGUGGUAAGUUGAAAGUAAGAAAGUAAUUAGGAAGGCUCGACUUUUUAAUAGUUAAUAUAUUGCGAACCAUACUCAUUUAGUGAGUAAAAUAAAUCCUUUGUUGGCUUCACUUAUUACCCAUGUUAGUACUUGAAAGAAGUAAAACUUGUUUUUAUUGUUCAUUAAAUUUUUCUGACCUUUUGAAUUAAAUUAUCUUUGUAAUUGAUGUUGACAUUAAAAAACCAAAAGAUUGUGUAAGAUUAUCUUUUCUGUAAAAAUUAAAUCUGUAUGCAACUUGA